CCUACGGGAGGCAGCAGUCGAGAAUCAUUCACAAUGGGGGAAACCCUGAUGGUGCGACGCCGCGUGGGGGAAUGAAGGUCUUCGGAUUGUAAACCCCUGUCAUGUGGGAGCAAAUUAAAAAGAUAGUACCACAAGAGGAAGAGACGGCUAACUCUGUGCCAGCAGCCGCGGUAAUACAGAGGUCUCAAGCGUUGUUCGGAAUCACUAGGCGUAAAGCGUGCGUAGGCUGUUUCGUAAGUCGUGUGUGAAAGGCGCGGGCUCAACCCGCGGACGGCACAUGAUACUGCGAGACUAGAGUAAGGGAGGGGGAACCGGAAUUCUCGGUGUAGCAGUGAAAUGCGUAGAUAUCGAGAGGAACACUCGUGGCGAAGGCGGGUUCCUGGACAUUAACUGACGCUGAGGCACGAAGGCCAGGGGAGCGAAAGGGAUUAGAUACCCGAGUAGUC
rnacentral:rRNA from 1 species